rnacentral:rRNA from 1 species
CAGGCCUAACACAUGCAAGUCGGACGGGAUCCAUCGGAGAGCUUGCUCGAAGAUGGUGAGAGUGGCGCACGGGUGCGUAACGCGUGAGCAACCUACCUCUAUCAGGGGGAUAGCCUCUCGAAAGAGAGAUUAACACCGCAUAACAUCAACAGUUCGCAUGUUCGGUUGAUUAAAUAUUUAUAGGAUAGAGAUGGGCUCGCGUGACAUUAGCUAGUUGGUAGGGUAACGGCUUACCAAGGCGACGAUGUCUAGGGGCUCUGAGAGGAGAAUCCCCCACACUGGUACUGAGACACGGACCAGACUCCUACGGGAGGCAGCAGUAAGGAAUAUUGGUCAAUGGGCGGAAGCCUGAACCAGCCAUGCCGCGUGCAGGAUGACUGCCCUAUGGGUUGUAAACUGCUUUUGUCCAGGAAUAAACCUAAAUACGUGUAUUUAGCUGAAUGUACUGGAAGAAUAAGGAUCGGCUAACUCCGUGCCAGCAGCCGCGGUAAUACGGAGGAUCCGAGCGUUAUCCGGAUUUAUUGGGUUUAAAGGGUGCGUAGGCGGCCUAUUAAGUCAGGGGUGAAAUACGGUGGCUCAACCAUCGCAGUGCCUUUGAUACUGAUGGGCUUGAAUCCAUUUGAAGUGGGCGGAAUAAGACAAGUAGCGGUGAAAUGCAUAGAUAUGUCUUAGAACUCCGAUUGCGAAGGCAGCUCACUAAGCUGGUAUUGACGCUGAUGCACGAAAGCGUGGGGAUCGAACAGGAUUAGA